rnacentral:rRNA from 1 species
UACGGAGGGUGCAAGCGUUAUCCGGAUUCACUGGGUUUAAAGGGUGCGUAGGUGGGAAGGUAAGUCAGUGGUGGAAUCCCCGAGCUUAACUUGGGAACUGCCAUUGAUACUAUCUUUCUUGAAUACCUUGGAGGUGAGCGGAAUAUGUCAUGUAGCGGUGAAAUGCUUAGAUAUGACAUAGAACACCAAUUGCGAAGGCAGCUCACUACACGGUCAUUGACACUGAGGCACGAAAGCGUGGGGAUCAAACAGG